GACGAACGCUGGCGGCGUGCUUAACACAUGCAAGUCGAACGAAGUGGCGAACGGGUGAGUAACGCGUAAUCAACCUGCCCUUCAGAGGAGGACAACAGCUGGAAACGACUGCUAAUACCGCAUACUGUAGGAGGGGAUUGAGUCUGCUUCGCUAGUGGGAGGGGUAACGGCCCACCAAGGCGAUGAUCAGUAGCCGGUCUGUGAGGAUGAACGGCAACAGUGGGACGGAGACCCCGCCCAGUCUCCUACGGGAGGCAGCAGUGGGGAAUCUUCCGCAAUGGACGAAAGUCUGACGGAGCAACGCCGCGGGAGUGAUGACGGCCUUCGGGUUGUAAAGCUCUGUUAAUCGGGACGCGGUACCGGAAUAGAAAGCCACGGCUAACUACGUGCCAGCAGCCGCGGUAAUUC
rnacentral:rRNA from 1 species